UGGCAUGUGGGAUCUUAGUUCCCCGACCAGAGAUCAAACCUGCGUCCCCUGCAUCAGAAGGCAGAUUCUUUACAACUGGACCACCAGGGAAGUCCCUAAGCUGUUGCUGUUUUUGACAAAGAAAGACCAUAAUCAAAUGCAAAGAGUAUGCUAUGGAAAGAUGAUCAAGAUAUGUGCCCCACCUCAUCCGAGAGCUGUGAAAGAGAUACAAAGUAUUACGCAUCUUCAAAACAAUAUCAGUUAAGAUUAGGUUCAACUGCAUAUAACAGGACAACUUAAACUUUCAGUGUUUAACCAAGUUGGAAAUUUAUUUCUUGCUAAUAUACAAAAAGUCAGGAAGUGGGCUAUAUAAGUCCGGUAUGCUGGCUGUACAAAAUUGUCAGGGGCCUGGUCUCUUAGGGAUGGCCCUCAUGAUCCAAGAUGUCUGUAGAAUUAUUAUGUUCUCAUUUGAGGAAGGAGGAUGAAGGAGAGAAAGAAGAAAGUACAUUUUCAUUUAUAUCUUAUUAGCUAAAAUAUAGUCACAUGGCAAUCCCCAAGUGCAUGGAAAAUGGAAAUGUAGUCUUUUAGCUGAGCGUAUGGCUGCUUACCCCAAAUAAUUGGUAUGAUUACUGAAAAGUAAGGGAACAAUGGUUUUUUAGGAGGCAGCUCAUAGUCUGCCAAAAGAGGAGAUUAAUUCUUACUAGGAAAAUGAGAAAACACUUGAAAAAUAGAAUUUCGUAAGGUAGUAAUGAAGAGGGAGGAAAUAUUCUAAGAAGUGAGAAUAGCGUGAGUGCAAAGAUACAGAAGCAGGAAAGUGCAGGGGAGCAGCAGGAAUAAGGAUUAUAAUGGGUGAUGGUAUGAUAGAUAAGGCUGUGUCUGUAGGUAGGUUGGGACCAGGUUGUAGGAGGCACCAGGUUCCAUCAAGAGUGAUAGCAGAAAAUGGGCUGGUACAGAAAAGUCCUAAAGUCUUUAAGGAAAAGUAGAAGUUGGGUGAUCGUUGAGGAGAAAUUGGUAAAGUCAGAAAUGAUAGUCUUCCGAAGAAGAGAAGUUGGACAUUCAUCAUAUUUCGAAGUUUCAUAGAGAGGAGAGUAGUUGACUCCUCCUGAAUCCAUGAGUCAAAGGGAUUAAAGAAAGCUCUCUUUCCCUUUCAAAGGGUUUAAGGUAAUUAAUGCUGUCACAUAUACAUUAGGGCAAUUAGAUGGAAAGCAUUAAAGAAUAUAAGGGAGUUUGUUUACAGUUGACCUCAGGGAGUACAAAAAGUCUGGUAUAGUUAGUGGAGAGGGUGCUAGAUUGUAUCUAGGUAGAAACAGAGCUAAGCUGGCUAUAAUUUAGGAAGAAAAGUAGAGGGAGGUUGUGGGGGGAGAGUUCCUAUAUUUAAGGAGCUGAUUGUGGGUCAUAGAGAUGAAGAAAGCAUUUAGUAAUAGUCUAAAGGAACAUGUCAUGGUGGUGAUGGAAAGUGGGGGAAGGAGAAGGAAGGAAAAGGAAGAUGUGAGUAUAGAAUGAAAACCAGCUCCAAAAUUGUAUUUGGUUCAUUAGAGUAUUAGAUAAUAGCUAAGAUUAAUUUAAGCUGUGGUAACAACUCCCCAAAUCACAGUGCAUUACAACAACAAAGUUUAUUUCUCCUUCACGUUAGUGUCCAUUUUGGUUUGACUGGGGCUUUGCUCUACAUCCUCUUCAUUCUGGGACUUAGGCUGAAGGAGUAGCCCCUGUCUGGGACAUAGCAGAGGGAAAAGAGAAAUGGUGGAGCCAUACAAUGGCUUUUAAAGCUUCUGUAGGGAAGUGGCACAUGUCACUUCUACUCACAUUCCAGUGACCAUA